rnacentral:snoRNA from 1 species
CUCCUCCUGAUUCCUCCUUACCCAUCCCACCUAAACACUGCUCGGGGUGCUUAUAAAAGGAGGGAAAGUUAAACUGAAGCUGGCUCUAAUUCUUCUGUGACACCCAAGCUUGUUUCUAAACAAA